rnacentral:lncRNA from 1 species
GGUAGCUGUAAAUGUUACCUUCUUUGAAAAAGGGGCUUUGCAGAUGUAACUUAGUUAAGGAUCUUGAGAUGGGUUCAUCCUGGAUUACCCAAUAAGACUGCAGUUGAAAGCUUCCAGAAGGAGCGUGGUCCUGCUGACACCUUGAUUUUGACUUCUAGCCUCUAGAACUGUGAGAGAGUAACCUUCGGUUGCAUUAAGCCAACAACUUUGUGGUCAUUUGUUAGAACAGCCCUCAGAAAUGGAUACAAAUUGGCAUUGUUAUUCCUAUUUACCACCAUAGAGCUGGGUCUACUGGGAUUUAUGAGUUAAGCACAUUCCGUUCUAAGUUGAAGAACCCAGAGAUAAUUGCUGCCCAUUUAGUGAAGAGGAAAGCCUGGAGGGAAGUUACAGAAUUCCCAAAGGUCUGUGUAGGAAUCAUUCUGGCUGGAAGAGUGUGGCCCAUCAUGCCCUUCACCAGGACAACUGAAGAGGUCUUCUCGUUUUGAGUUUAAAGCGAACUGACAGUUGGAGAAAGGUCAACAAAAUGUUCAUCCGUGCAGUUUCUACGCCAUAAACCCUUCAGACUUCAAAUAAGCACAUAACCAAUUUUAUAGAGUUUUAUCAAAUAGUCGCCCUUGUUUUUAGAAUGAACGAAGCAAUGACUUUAAUUUAGCAACUGGGGGGUGCUUAAAAAAUAUUAAUAAUUAAAAGUUUCAUAUUAAGCAGUAUCACUGUUUGGGUUUUUUCUCAGAUAAACUUCCAAAUUGAAGUUAGCGUCUACAGAUAAAAAUGAAAAAGGAACUAGGGGUGCUUGGGUGGCUCAGUGGGUUAAGCGUCCAACUCUGGAUCUCAGCUCAGGUCUUGAUCUCAGGAUUGUGAGGUCAAGCCCUGAGUUGGGCUUUGUGCCCCACCUCCCUCCCGAAUAAAGGGAACCCAACAAUUAGUCUCUGAAGCUUA